GUCAAAAAAAUUAAACUCUUCCAGACUAAAAUAAGAUUUUUAGGCCACAACAUAGAUAAAGGAUCUAUUAUUCCUAUAGAUCGAGCCAUUGAAUUUGCAGAUAAAUUCCCUGAUGAAAUAAAAGAAAAAACCCAAUUGCAAAGAUUUCUAGUGAGUCUUAAUUAUGUAGCAGACUUUUACCAAAGCCUGGCACAAGACACCAAAAUACUUUUCCAAAGAUUAAAAAAGAAUCCAUUACCAUAGACCCCAG
rnacentral:misc_RNA from 1 species